UAUCUCAUCAUAAAGAAAACACAAGACAGUACCGAUGGUGGAACAGCAAAAUCCUGGAUUUGGAGGAGGCCAAACAUCAAUUACUUUUUUCACUACCUAUGUUCCUUACAAACUUGUUCUAUUACUUAAUCGUGUUGGUUUCUGUAAUUUUCGCUGGCCACCUUGGUGAUCUUCAGCUUGCUGGUGCUACUCUUGCAAACUCUUGGUUUUCUGUCACUGGUUUGGCUGUCAUGGUAAAUUAUAUUCAGAAUUUCUUUAGGAAUGUAGUGAAAUGAAUUAUCAUGUAUGAUAAGCAAUAUUGUUGAGUUUUAUAAUAAGAUUGGUGCUAGCUACUUUAACAAUGAAAAGCAGGAGUUUAGAUGGCACAGUAACACACUUCACACCUCUAUUAGAUGUAUCUCAUCAUAAAGAAAACACAAGACAGUACCGAUGGUGGAACAGCAAAAUCCUGGAUUUGGAGGAGGCCAAACAUCAAUUACUUUUUUCACUACCUAUGUUCCUUACAAACUUGUUCUAUUACUUAAUCGUGUUGGUUUCUGUAAUUUUCGCUGGCCACCUUGGUGAUCUUCAGCUUGCUGGUGCUACUCUUGCAAACUCUUGGUUUUCUGUCACUGGUUUGGCUGUCAUGGUAAAUUAUAUUCAGAAUUUCUUUAGGAAUGUAGUGAAAUGAAUUAUCAUGUAUGAUAAGCAAUAUUGUUGAGUUUUAUAAUAAGAUUGGUGCUAGCUACUUUAACAAUGAUGCAAUAUGCUAGGAAAAUUUAACACCAUAACAUUUCCUCAAAACUAGUUGACUUGAAUAAAUGCAAUUAACAAGAUUGAGUAUUCUUACAAGAUCAAACACGAUCAUCUUC
rnacentral:lncRNA from 1 species